rnacentral:rRNA from 1 species
AUUGAACGCUGGCGGCAUGCCUUACACAUGCAAGUCGAACGGCAGCACGGGAGCAAUCCUGGUGGCGAGUGGCGAACGGGUGAGUAAUGUAUCGGAACGUGCCCAGUCGAGGGGGAUAACGUAGCGAAAGCUACGCUAAUACCGCAUACGAUCUAUGGAUGAAAGCGGGGGAUCGCAAGACCUCGCGCGAUUGGAGCGGCCGAUAUCAGAUUAGGUAGUUGGUGGGGUAAAGGCUCACCAAGCCGACGAUCUGUAGCUGGUCUGAGAGGACGACCAGCCACACUGGGACUGAGACACGGCCCAGACUCCUACGGGAGGCAGCAGUGGGGAAUUUUGGACAAUGGGCGCAAGCCUGAUUCAGUAAUGCCGCGUGCAGGAUGAAGGCCUUCGGGUUGUAAACUGCUUUUGUACGGAACGAAACGGCGAGCUUUAAUACAGUUUGCUAAUGACGGUACCGUAAGAAUAAGCACCGGCUAACUACGUGCCAGCCGCCGCAGUAA